rnacentral:rRNA from 1 species
UGGGGAAUCUUGGGCAAUGGGCGAAAGCCUGACCCAGCCACGCCGCGUGGAGGAAGACACCCCUAUGGGGCGUAAACUCCUUUUGUGUGAGAAGAAAUCUCCUUCUGGGAGGCUGACGGUAUCACACGAAUAAGCACCGGCUAACUCCGUGCCAGCAGCCGCGGUAAUACGGAGGGUGCAAGCGUUGUCCGGAAUCACUGGGUGUAAAGGGUGUGUAGGUGGGACUGUAAGUCAGAGGUGAAAGCCCACGGCUCAACCGUGGAAUUGCCUUUGAUACUGCAGUUCUUGAGUCCCGGAGAGGUCAUCGGAAUUCGUGGUGUAGCGGUGAAAUGCGUAGAUAUCACGAGGAACACCAGAGGCGUAAGCGGAUGACUGGACGGGUACUGACACUGAGGCACGAAAGCGUGGGGAGCAAACAGGAUUAGAUACCCCCGUAGUCC